rnacentral:rRNA from 1 species
AACUNCGAUUAGAUACCCUAUUAUUNUNAAAGUUAAAAUAAAGCCAGAGUAGUAAUAGUUAUGUUCUUGAAACUCAAAGAAUUUGGCGGUGUUUUAAUCCGGUCAGAGGAACCUGCCCCGUAAUCGAUAAUCCACGUUUAUUUNACUUGGUCNAGUAUUCAGCUUGUAUACCGCCGUCAGAAGAGUGAUUCGAGAGAAUACCCUCUGAAUUUUUAAUUAAAAAAAAUGUCAGGCCAAGGUGCAGNUUAUGAUUAAGGGGAGGUGGGUUACAAUAAUUUUAAUUNANUGGNGAUUUUUUUGUNAAAGAGGAUUGAAGGUGGAUUNGGAUGUAAUGNANAGAAUUAUAUUUUUAUGAUACCGGCUCUAAAACAAGCACNCCUCGCCC